UCAGGCGUAGCUCAGUAAGCAGAGCAGCUGAUACUUAAUCAGCGUGUCGGGGGUGCAAGUCCUUCCGUCCUGGU
rnacentral:tRNA from 1 species